GAGAUUCAAGCAGAUGGAACCUUGACUACUUUUGACUGGCAACUCCAAGGUCUACACACCCAGUGUAGUCCUGACAGGAGGACCCACCCUUGCAAUCUUCUGGAUGGAUCCAAACACAAAGCCUAUGCUACAAUGGAAAAUGCUCU
rnacentral:lncRNA from 14 species